rnacentral:rRNA from 1 species
UACGGAGGGACUAGCGUUGUCCGGAAUUACUGGGCGUAAAGCGCACGUAGGCGGCUUUGUAAGUUAGAGGUGAAAGCCCGGAGCUCAACUCCGGAAUUGCCUUUAAGACUGCAUCGCUCGAAUCAUGGAGAGGUGAGUGGAAAUUCCGAGUGUAGAGGUGAAAUUCGUAGAUAUUCGGAAGAACACCAGUGGCGAAGGCGACUCACUGGACAUGUAAUUGACGCUGAGGUGGCGAAAAGCGUGGGGAGCAAACAGG